UAAUACGUAGGUGGCAAGCGUUGUCCGGAUUUAUUGGGUUUAAAGGGUGCGUAGGCGGCCCUGUAAGUCAGUGGUGAAAUACUCCAGCUUAACUGGAGGGGUGCCAUUGAUACUGCAGGGCUUGAGUGGAGUCGAAGUAGGCGGAAUUGACGGUGUAGCGGUGAAAUGCUUAGAUAUCGUCAAGAACACCGAUAGUGAAGACAGUUUACUAGGCUUCUACUGACGCUGAGGCACGAAAGUGUGGGGAUCAAACAGGAUUAGAUACCCUGGUAGUCCACACUGUAAACGUUGAUUACUCGCUGUUGGCGAUACACAGCCAGCGGCCAAGCGCAAGCGAUAAGUAAUCCACCUGGGGAGUACGCCGGCAACGGUG
rnacentral:rRNA from 1 species